rnacentral:rRNA from 1 species
AGGUGCAACGUUUUAGCACUAAUGCACCGGAUCCCAUCAGAACUCCGCAGUUAAGCGUGCUUGGGCGAGAGUAGUACUAGGAUGGGUGACCUCCGGGAAGUCCUCGUGUUGCAUCCC